rnacentral:rRNA from 1 species
CCUACGGGAGGCAGCAGUGAGGAAUCUUGGUCAAUGGGCGAGAGCCUGAACCAGCCAAGUCGCGUGAAGGAUGACGGCCCUACGGGUUGUAAACUUCUUUUGUCAGGGAGCAAUUUGGUCCACGCGUUGGCUUAGCGAGAGUACCUGAAGAAAAAUCAUCGGCUAACUCCGUGCCAGCAGCCGCGGUAAUACGGAGGAUGCGAUCGUUAUCCGUAUUUAUUGUGUUUAAAGGGUGCGUAGGCGGAAUAUCAAGUCAGCGGUAAAACUUCGGGGCUCAACCCCGUCGUGCCGUUGAAACUGAUGUUCGGGAGUAGGCGAGAAGUAUGCGGAAUGCGUGGUGUAGCGGUGAAAUGCAUAGAUAUCACGCAGAACUCCGAUUGCGAAGGCAGCAUACCGGCGCCCAACUGACGCUGAAGCACGAAAGCGUGGGUAUCGAACAGGAUUAGAUACCCGGGUAGUC